CAUAACAAAAUAUUGCUUUAUUAUUUUAAUUAUUAAAUAAUAUACACUGUGUUAGGUCUUGGUUCAAUAAGCUACAUGCAAUCAUUUCAAUAUAUGGUAAUAAACAUUGAACCAGUCCGGCCCUCGACUUGUAGAAAUUAGGUUUUUUUUACACUAAUGUCUCUACAGUUAGAGGUUUUUGUACGACGACUCAACCAGUUUGUAUCACUGUGGUUCACGUUUGGUGGAGGAACCAGGCUGGAUGUUGGAAGUGAUACCCACCCCACCCUGACAGUGCUGCCCCCCUCCAGUGUGGAGCUGCAGCAGCAGCAGGUUACCCUCCUGUGUCUGGCCAACAAGGGCUUCCCCUCAGACUGGACUCUGUCCUGGAAGCUGGACGGCAGCAGCAGCAGCAGCUGGGAGCAGAGCAGGAGCCCCGGGGUGCUGCAGAAUGACGGCCUCUACAGCUGGAGCAGCACCCUGAGGAUCCCUGCAGACCAGUGGAGGAAGGUGGCUGUGACCUGUGAGGCCUCCCAGAGCUCCCAGCCUGCAGUCACAGAGACACUGAGGAGAGACCAGUGCUCCCAGUCCUGAGCUGAUUCUGAUACUGGCUUUAAUCUGUCACUGCUCUCACUCUUUCUCUGCUGAUUAUUCUCUAUUUUCACUGAGUCAUGUUUGCUUUGUCAUGUUUGUCACUGUUCAGAUA